CGACGAGUGGCGAACGGGUGAGUAAUAUAUCGGAACGUGCCCAGUAGUGGGGGAUAGCCCGGCGAAAGCCGGAUUAAUACCGCAUACGACCUACGGGUGAAAGCGGGGGAUCGUAAGACCUCGCGCUAUUGGAGCGGCCGAUAUCAGAUUAGGUAGUUGGUGGGGUAAAAGCCUACCAAGCCGACGAUCUGUAGCUGGUCUGAGAGGACGACCAGCCACACUGGGACUGAGACACGGCCCAG
rnacentral:rRNA from 1 species